UGGCGGCGUGGUUAAGACAUGCAAGUCGAACGGGACUUUCCGUUGUAGCAAUACGAUGGAAAGUCUAGUGGCGAACGGGUGCUUAACACGUGGGCAACCUGCCAUGAAGUGGGGGAUAGCUCGCCGAAAGGCGAAUUAAUACCGCAUGUGAUUAGAGAGGACAUCCUUUCGAAAUUAAAGUCGGGGCAACCUGACGCUUCUUGUGGGGCCCGCGGCCUAUCAGCUAGUUGGUGAGGUAACGGCUCACCAAGGCUUUGACGGGUAGCUGGUCUGAGAGGACGACCAGCCACACUGGGACUGAGACACGGCCCAGACACCUACGGGUGGCAGCAGUCGAGAAUUUUUGACAAUGGGGGAAACCCUGAUCGAGCGACGCCGCGUGGAGGAUGAAGGUCUUCGGAUUGUAAACUCCUGUCAUUGGGGAACAAUGCACAGAUAUUAACUGUAUUUGUGUUGAUAGUACCCGAAGAGGAAGAGACGGCUAACUCUGUGCCAGCAGCCGCGGUAAUACAGAGGUCUCAAGCGUUGUUCGGAUUCAUUGGGCGUAAAGGGUGCGUAGGCGGCGCGGUAAGUCGGGUGUGAAAUCUCGGAGCUUAACUCCGA
rnacentral:rRNA from 1 species